rnacentral:rRNA from 1 species
GCGCGAAAACUUUACAAUGCUGGCAACAGCGAUAAGGGAACCUCGCGUGCCAGGUUACAAAUCUGGCCGUCGAGAUGCCUAAAAAGCAUUUCAUAGCAAGGGCCGGGCAAGACCGGUGCCAGCCGCCGCGGUAACACCGGCGGCUCGAGUGGUAACCGUUAUUAUUGGGUCUAAAGGGUCUGUAGCCGGCCGGAUAAGUCUCUUGAGAAAUCUGGCGGCUUAACUGUCAGGCUUUCAGGAGAUACUGUCUGGCUCGAGGCCGGGAGAGGUGAGAGGUACUUCAGGGGUAGGGGUGAAAUCUUGUAAUCCUUGAAGGACCACCAGUGGCGAAGGCGUCUCACCAGAACGGACCUGACGGCAAGGGACGAAAGCUAGGGGCACGAACCG